rnacentral:rRNA from 1 species
AUGCAUAUAGUGGGAAGUUCAAGGAGUGCAACGGGCCCAAGUCUGAUCCAGCCUCACAGGACAUUGAUGUUACGGUUUCCCUCAAGUCGGGACAAGGCAAGAAGCGUGGGUGGUUAUAUGUUGGUGACGGUUCCAUCCGUAAGAAGGACAUUCCAGAACUUGCCCACCUCCGUGCUACCACGUCGAGCUCACGUCCUGCUAUUGAGCGCCGCCCAUCAAUUCCAUGCUCGCCUAGAGGAAGAAAGCAGGUUGCGGCAGGAAGAAACCAGGUUGCGGCUGGAGGCUCAGGCCAAUGCCCUACUUCAACAGGAGCAAGCCAUGAAAAUGCAGCAAGCCCUGUUUCAGCAGCAGGAAUUCAUGGUUAAACAGCAGGCGGCCCUGCAGGAGACGUUCGCUCGGUUCAGUACUAAUAUGCAGGGUUCUACUUUGCCGGAUCUUCCGCCUGUUCCACCGCUUCCUACUUUUAGCUUUGUAAGUCUUCAACUUUUCAAUCAUGCAUCUCACCAUCUUACCGUCUCAUGCUUGAAGUGUCCUCGAUCGGGAGAAGGCUCCAAUAACUUUGUGGUAGGUGGAUCUGCACCUGCCCAAGCAAGCCCAGUGACACCCACUGGGGCUCAUGGUGCUUCAACCUCCACACCACAAUGA